rnacentral:rRNA from 1 species
UACGAAGGGGGCUAGCGUUGCUCGGAAUUACUGGGCGUAAAGCGCACGUAGGCGGUCUUUUAAGUCGGGGGUGAAAUCCUGGAGCUCAACUCCAGAACUGCCUUCGAUACUGGAAGACUUGAGUCCAGGAGAGGUGAGUGGAACUGCGAGUGUAGAGGUGAAAUUCGUAGAUAUUCGCAAGGACACCAGUGGCGAAGGCGGCUCACU